GCUGGGCAUGGUGGCGCACGCCUGUAAUCCCAGCUACUCAGGAGGCUGAGGCAGGAGAAUUGCUUGAACCUGGGAGGUGGAGGCUGCAGUGAGCCAAGAUUGUGCCACUGCACUCCAGCCUGGGUGACAGAGCAAGACCUUGACUCAA
rnacentral:SRP_RNA from 1 species